rnacentral:rRNA from 11 species
UGACCGAUAGUGAACCAGUACCGUGAGGGAAAGGUGAAAAGCACCCCGACGAGGGGAGUGAAAGAGACCUGAAACCGAAUGCUUACAAGCAGUGGGAGCCUCCUUGAGGGGUGACCGCGUACCUUUUGUAUAAUGGGUCAGCGAGUUAAUUUUGCGAGCGAGCUUAAGCCGUUAGGUGUAGGCGCAGGGAAACCGAGUCUUAAUAGGGCGUUUUAGUUCGUAGGAUUAGACCCGAAGCCCGGUGAUCUAGCCAUGAGCAGGUUGAAGGUGCGGUAACACGUACUGGAGGACCGAACCCACUUAUGUUGAAAAAUGAGGGGAUGACUUGUGGCUAGGGGUGAAAGGCCAAUCAAACUGGGUAAUAGCUGGUUCUCCGCGAAAUCUAUUUAGGUAGAGCGUCAUGUAUUGCCGUCGGGGGUAGAGCACUGGAUGGGCUAGGGGGUCCCACAGACUUACCAAACCUAACCAAACUCCGAAUACCGAUGAGUAUGAGCAUGGCAGACAGACGGCGGGUGCUAAGGUCCGUCGUCAAAAGGGAAACAGCCCUAACCUACAGCUAAGGUCCCCAAGUCAUAGUUAAGUGGGAAAGCAUGUGGGAUUGCUUAGACAACCAGGAGGUUGGCUUAGAAGCAGCCAUCCUUUAAAGA